UCUGAAAUUGAGAAUCCUAAAUUAGAACAUUUUCCUAAUUAGAACAACUUGACAUCUCCUUGGAAGUGGGACAAGAGUAUCUACAAGCUGACAAAGAAAAAGAAAAAGAUGUGAUCGCCAUGUCUUAUCCAUUCUCUCCUCAUCACACGACAUUGUGAUGGUGCCCAUUCAACAGAGCCUGGGGAAAAUACUUUUGUUGGAUCCAUGACAUUGAUAAUCUGUGGUGCUGGAGACGGCUCUUCCUUCAAGUGACCAUGGCUACAAAUAUCUGGGAAGCUGAAUGAAGCGUCUGAAAAGCUAUUUCACUACAGAUAGGGGUGGUUGCACUAGAAGACCUCUAAUUCUAAGAUUUAAAAACUAUUAAUGAUAUAUUAAAAUAGAUAAUUUUCA